AUAGAUACCGGGUAGUCCACGCCGUAAACGUUGGGAACUAGAUGUGGGGGCCAUUCCACGGCUUCCGUGUCGUAGCUAACGCAUUAAGUUCCCCGCCUGGGGAGUACGGCCGCAAGGCUAAAACUCAAAGGAAUUGACGGGGGCCCGCACAAGCGGCGGAGCAUGCGGAUUAAUUCGAUGCAACGCGAAGAACCUUACCAAGGCUUGACAUAUACCUGAAAAGGCUGGAAACAGUCUCCCCGCAAGGCAGGUAUACAGGUGGUGCAUGGUUGUCGUCAGCUCGUGUCGUGAGAUGUUGGGUUAAGUCCCGCAACGAGCGCAACCCUCGUUCUAUGUUGCCAGCACGUAAUGGUGGGAACUCAUAGGAGACUGCCGGGGUCAACUCGGAGGAAGGUGGGGAUGACGUCAAAUCAUCAUGCCCCUUAUGUCUUGGGCUUCACGCAUGCUACAAUGGCCGGUACAAAGGGCUGCAAUACCGCAAGGUGGAGCGAAUCCCAAAAAGCCGGUCUCAGUUCGGAUUGAGGUCUGCAACUCGA
rnacentral:rRNA from 1 species